AUUGAACGCUGGCGGCAUGCCUUACACAUGCAAGUCGAACGGUAACAGGUCUUCGGAUGCUGACGAGUGGCGAACGGCUGAGUAAUACAUCGGAACGUGCCUAGUAGUGGGGGAUAACUUCUCGAAAGAGUGGCUAAUACCGCAUGAUAUCUACGGAUGAAAGCAGGGGAUCGCAAGACCUUGUGCUACUAGAGCGGCCGAUGGCAGAUUAGGUAGUUGGUGGGAUGAAAGCUUACCAACCAGACGAUCUGUAGCUGGUCUGAGAGGACGAUCAGCCUAACUGGGACGGAGACACGGCCCAGACUCCUACGGGAGGCAGAAGUGGGGAAUUUUGGACAAUGGGCGCAAGCCUGAUCCAGCAAUGACGCGUGCAGGAUGAAGGCCUUCGGGUUGUAAACUGCUUUUAUACUAAACGAAAAGACCUGGGUUAAUACCCUGGGGUCAUGACGGUACCGUAAGAAUAAGCACCGGCUAACUACGUGCCAGCCGCCGCAGUAAAAC
rnacentral:rRNA from 1 species